rnacentral:rRNA from 1 species
ACUCCUACGGGAGGCAGCAGUGGGGAAUAUUGCACAAUGGGCGCAAGCCUGAUGCAGCCAUGCCGCGUGUGUGAAGAAGGCCUUCGGGUUGUAAAGCACUUUCAGUUGUGAGGAAGGUGGUGUCGUUAAUAGCGGCAUCAUUUGACGUUAGCAACAGAAGAAGCACCGGCUAACUCCGUGCCAGCAGCCGCGGUAAUACGGAGGGUGCGAGCGUUAAUCGGAAUUACUGGGCGUAAAGCGCAUGCAGGUGGUUUGUUAAGUCAGAUGUGAAAGCCCGGGGCUCAACCUCGGAACUGCAUUUGAAACUGGCAGACUAGAGUACUGUAGAGGGGGGUAGAAUUUCAGGUGUAGCGGUGAAAUGCGUAGAGAUCUGAAGGAAUACCGGUGGCGAAGGCGGCCCCCUGGACAGAUACUGACACUCAGAUGCGAAAGCGUGGGGAGCAAACAGGAUUAGAUACCCUGGUAGCACAGAGG